rnacentral:SRP_RNA from 2 species
GCCGGGAGUGGUGGUGCGCUCCUGUAAUCCAACUACUUGGAGGCUAGGUACAGAGGAUGUUUUAAGGACGAGGGUUUUGGAAUUGAAUUUCCCCUGUUGGGGAUAAAUCUUUAACUUGGAUGCCUUGGGGGAGCCCGAGGUAGCCAGGUUGAGAGUUCAAUUUCAAUUUGUCCUAAACAAGAACAGACCUGUACCAAA